AUACUUAUCUGGGCAGGGGAGAGGCCCAUGAUCACGAAGGUGGUCUACCCAGGCGAGCAACAUCAUGCAUUGCACUUCAAUAAAGCUGACUGCAUAAUUCCUGCAAAUGUGGGAAUCAAUGUACAAUUUGUGGUAGGAACUGCGCCACAAGGCCUCCCUGAUC